rnacentral:lncRNA from 1 species
NNNNNNNNNCCCCACCACCGGCAUCCUCCCCGGGGCCGUAUCCUCGGAGGAACCGCGCUCCCUAAGCGGCUUUCGGGGGAUUACGGGCAGCCCCCUGGCCCUUGCCCUGUCCCCACCCAGCCUUCCUUCCCCGCUGCUUUAAGUAAUCGUCUCUGAGACAGUUUUACCCGGCUAAUCCGGCCACCUCCACCUAAGCUGCUCCAGCGCCCCUGCCUGCCCCCCGCCGGGGCGCAAACGCUCCCCUGCCCUGGGAAGCCCCCCCUGAAGGCAAGGAGGAGCCGGGGUCCAAAAAUAAAACUGGACGAAGGGAUGAGGGCAGGAAGCCUCGGGGGCGAGGGGACUGACGCUGGAGAGCGGCGCCGGAGGGGCUCCUGGAGGUGGCACGAGCGGCACAAGCAGCGCUGUCACCUCGUGCCACCCCACGCAGGGGGGUGAAGCCCCCCCCCCAAAGGGAUGGAGCAAAAAGGGGCCGAGAGCCCCAGGCAGGGCUGCGAGGACAAAGCGGGGCCGGGAGCCAGAGCGGGGCCACGUCCGCCUCCAGCCCCGGCCGCGUGCGUCACCUGCUGCCACGCCGUGGGGGUCACGGCUACUGCAGGGGCACCCCGGGGUGCUGCAUCCUCCUGGGGACGGGGUCGAGGCACGGGGGACGCCGAUUUCUCAAAGUCUGGAAUCAGAUUUAUUCGUCCGUGUACAAAAAUGCUGCCCCCUCCCCGACACACACCUCGAGGAGGGGAGGGCGUUAAAAGCCGCGUGGUGCCGCGCAGGGCACGGGCAGGCACCGGUGCUCCGGUUUCAAGUAGAGAGGGGGGAAAAAAAAAGGGGGGGACACCUGUGGUGUGUGGGGGGGGCACGGGCGGUGUCUUUGGCUUCACAGGGGAUUGAUGGAGCCCAGGAACGUCCCCACACCGGCUCCCGGGGGAGAGGGGACGCGGGAGGAAGGCAACGUGGCAGCGGGAGAGCAGGACCCCCCCGGGGCCCCCGUGCCGAGGACGGGGCUCCUGUAGUGCUUGGGGAGGGGGGAGCCGGGCCCCCGCGGGAGAGGCGCCGGCGCCCCCCCGCAGCAGCGAUGGUCAAGGGAAGUGGAGGGGGGGCACGGCCGGGAGCAGGAUGGAGCCCCCCCAAGCCCUCCACGAGGCACCACCGUGGUGCACGGUGCAGCCGGGAGGGCGCAGACACCAAAACCUAAGGCACGGGCGGCGCGAGGCAGCGGGGAGCCCUCACCCCGGGGUGGGGUGGGGGGGCUGGCGGCACAACCCCCGGCUCCCCCCCCAGCGCUGCAGCAGCAAAUCAACAAGUUAAGACUCC